CACUGGCAGUUGGCGGCGGCUGGCCAUCGCUAGCGAUGAUGACUGCUUCACCAGGAUGCGCAGAAACGGAGACAGGCCACAAGGCCUGCACCAGAGCUCCUCCCCCAAUGAAGUGCCCUGCACAGUAAGUAAGAUGCUUUGAAAAACACUGGCAGUUGGCGGCGGCUGGCCAUCGCUAGCGAUGAUGACUGCUUCACCAGGAUGCGCAGAAACGGAGACAGGCCACAAGGCCUGCACCAGAGCUCCUCCCCCAAUGAAGUGCCCUGCACAGUAAGUAAGAUGCUUUGAAAAACACUGGCAGUUGGCGGCGGCUGGCCAUCGCUAGCGAUGAUGACUGCUUCACCAGGAUGCGCAGAAACGGAGACAGGCCACAAGGCCUGCACCAGAGCUCCUCCCCCAAUGAAGUGCCCUGCAC